UACAUAUUAUGUGUACGUUAUUAUAUCUCUCCUACUUUCUUUCUUUUCUUUCUUUCUUUCUUUCUUUCUCUCUUUCCUUCUGUGUGUCUCUAUUGGUAUAAAAACAAAAAACGAGCAAAGAAAAAAACAUAAAACGAGAGGAAGAAGCAA
rnacentral:ribozyme from 13 species